rnacentral:lncRNA from 1 species
UAGAUGGUAUGCUUCUCUUCAAAAUAUUUUCUUUACAUGAUUUUCAGUUUCUCAGUUUUAAUUUGUCUAGAAAGCCUUUAUAGGUAGAAGAUGGUAAUGAAGGCACUUGCCAGCUGAUGGAUUUCUUAUCGCAUACAUUUAUUCUCCUUAGUAGUAAAAUGAGGCAUGACUGUCAUUACAAACCCUCCCUUUUGGGAUCUGAAUUUGCUCCUGAGAAUAAGUACCACUAAUAGGCAAUGUGCAUGAUUUGCAUGUGUGCAAAGCCAAGCAUAUGCCCUUCAGAUCACUUAAAUUUGAACCACUUCAUUGUUGAGGAGAAAUUAUUAUUACUUUCUGUCUUGAGAUGGGAUCUUGCUGUGCAGUUCUGGCUGGGCUCAAACUGGAGAUCCUUCUGUCUCAGUUUCUGGAACACAUAGUACCACAACUGGCUCUUAAGGAUUUCAGUAUUUUAUUUGAGAUUGGGCAAGAGUUGGCCAGGAUAAGAAAUGUUCAGAAUUGGUGGAGGUUUUGUGUUUGAGUUUUUGACUCUGCUUUCGAUAAGCCUUUUUACCUGAAAGGGGCUGCUGCUGCUUCAAGAUGAUAUACCCCCAUACAUUUGUUGAUUUAUGAAGUAAUUUCUGAGAAAUAUGUCAUUAGGUGACUUUAGUCAUUUUUGUAAACAUUAGCUACCUUAUAUAAAGCAAGGUGAUGUAAUGAAGUAUGAUAUUGUACAUAGAUGUAUACACUAUACUUUGACUGACAGACAGUUGUUUACAGUAGCAUUGCUACACAUGUGAGUAAUACAUUGUGUUAAACUGAAGAUUGGAAGGAAUUUUUGGCUUCUAUUUUUGAUAUGCACGUCCCUGUAGAUCAAAUGACGGGCUGAUUCCUAAUCCUAGCUUAGUCUUUCAGAUUUCAGUGAACCAUAUAUCACUUGGAAAUUAAGGUCAUUUUGGGAUUUCAAGAAAAUAUAUUGUCAGUAUCAAAUCAGAAAGUAUUAGUAUACCAAUUAAUUUCUUUAAUUCAUUUAAAUUUUGUGAGACACUAGUGGGAAACAAGGCAGGGUAUAUGGAUGUCUAAUAAAUUUUGAGUAUUCAGAUUCAAGUCCUGGGCUUUUUAUUCAUCCGCCGUGGGAUCUUUGGCAAAUCCUCCACUCUUUUUGCUUAUUUUGUUUUCUGUUUGCCUGUUUUGCCUGUAUAUGUAUCUGUGCAUUAUAUAUGUAUCUGGUACCUUGCAGAGGCCAAAAGAUGGCCUGGUCAGAGUCUCUGGAAGUGGAUUUACAGACUCUUGUGAGCUGUCAUGUAGGUGUUGGGAAUCAAACAUGGGAAGAGCAAGUGCUGUUAACUGCCGACCCAACUCACCAGCACCUAUCUUCCACUUCUAGAAACCUUAGUUUCUGCAACUGGACAAGGGAUGGGCUAGUUAUAACAGUCUUUUGUUGUUUCAGUGCUGCUGCUGCUGCUGUGGGGAUCAAGUAGAACCUCUUCAUGUGUGAAGUCUCUUUAAAAACAGCUGUAAAAAACAUUAUCAUUAGGCUUAAUGAUUCAGUCCUUAUCAGCAGCAGCCAUCUAUUUAUUCUGU